UACAGAGGUCCCAAGCGUUGUUCGGAUUCAUUGGGCGUAAAGGGUGUGUAGGUGGCGCCGUAAGUCGGGUGUGAAAUUUCGGAGCUUAACUCCGAAACUGCAUUCGAUACUGCGGUGCUUGAGGACUGGAGAGGAGACUGGAAUUCAUGGUGUAGCAGUGAAAUGCGUAGAGAUCAUGAGGAAGACCAGUGGCGAAGGCGGGUCUCUGGACAGUUCCUGACACUGAGGAACGAAAGCGUGGGUAGCGAACAGG
rnacentral:rRNA from 1 species